rnacentral:rRNA from 1 species
AUUGAACGCUGGCGGCAGGCCUAACACAUGCAAGUCGAGCGGAGCGACGGACGGGUGAGUAAUGCCUAGGAAUCUGCCUGGUAGUGGGGGAUAACGUCCGGAAACGGGCGCUAAUACCGCAUACUAUCAGAUGAGCCUAGUUGGGAUUAGCUAGUUGGUGGGGUAAAGGCCUACCAAGGCGACGAUCCGUAACUGGUAUGAGAGGAUGGUCAGUCAGACUGGAAAUGAUGCACGGUCCAGACGCCUACGGUAGGCAGCCGUGGGGAAUGUUGGACAAAGGGCGAAAGCCUGUUCCAGCCAUGCCGCGGAUGUGAAGAAGGGCUUCGGAUUGUAAAGCUCUUUAAGUUGGGAGGCGUUACCAACAGAAUAAGCACCGGCUAACUUCGUGCCAGCAGCCGCGGUAAUUC